GUGUCAGCCGCCGCGGUAAUACGGAGGGUGCGAGCGUUAAUCGGAAUUACUGGGCGUAAAGGGUGCGUAGGCGGUUGAAUCAGUCGGAUGUGAAAGCCCCGGGCUUAACCUGGGAAUUGCAUUCGAUACUGUUCGGCUAGAGUACGAUAGAGGGUGGUGGAACUCCAGGUGUAGCGGUGAAAUGCGUAGAUAUCUGGAAGAACACCAGUGGCGAAGGCGGCCACCUGGAUCGUAACUGACGCUGAGGCACGAAAGCGUGGGGAGCAAACAGGAUUAGAUACCCUGGUAGUCCACGCCCUAAACGAUGUAUGCUUGGUGUUAGACGCUUGCGUCUAGUGCCGUAGGUAACCUGUUAAGCAUACCACCUGGGGAGUACGAUCGCAAGGUUGAAACUCAAAUGAAUUGACGG
rnacentral:rRNA from 1 species